CUCGAUACUGACACUGAGGUGCGAAAGCGUGGGGAGCAAACGGGAUUAGAUACCCCGGUAGUCCACGCCGUAAACGAUGUCUACUAGCCGUUGGAGGACUUGAUCCUUUAGUGGCGCAGCUAACGCGAUAAGUAGACCGCCUGGGGAGUACGGUCGCAAGAUUAAAACUCAAAUGAAUUGACGGGGGCCCGCACAAGCGGUGGAGCAUGUGGUUUAAUUCGAAGCAACGCGAAGAACCUUACCUACUCUUGACAUCCAGUGAACUUUUGAGAGAUCAAUUGGUGCCUUCGGGAACACUGAGACAGGUGCUGCAUGGCUGUCGUCAGCUCGUGUUGUGAAAUGUUGGGUUAAGUCCCGUAACGAGCGCAACCCUUGUCCUUAGUUACCAUCAUUAAGUUGGGGACUCUAAGGAGACUGCCGGUGACAAACCGGAGGAAGGCGGGGACGACGUCAAGUCAUCAUGGCCCUUACGAGUAGGGCUACACACGUGCUACAAUGGCAUGUACAAAGGGUUGCCAAGCCGCGAGGUGGAGCUAAUCCCAUAAAGCAUGUCGUAGUCCGGAUUGGAGUCUGCAACUCGACUCCAUGAAGUCGGAAUCGCUAGUAAUCGUGAAUCAGAAUGUCACGGUGAAUACGUUCCCGGGCCUUGUACACACCGCCCGUCACACCAUGGGAGUGGGUUGCUCCAGAAGCAGAUAGCUUAACCUUCGGGAGGGCGUUUACCACGGAGUGAUUCAUGACUGGGGUGAAGUCGUAACAAGGUAACCGUA
rnacentral:rRNA from 1 species